GACGAACGCUGGCGGCGUGCCUAAUACAUGCAAGUCGAACGCAGUGGGGACGGGUGAGUAACACGUGGGUAAACUCCCAUCAGAGGGGAUAACACUUGGAAAAAGGUGCUAAACCGAUACGGAUGGAAGGACCCGCGGUUCAUUAGCUAGGUGGGGAGGUAACGGCUAACCAAGGCCACUAUGCAUAGCCGCCCGUAGAGUGUGAUCGGCCACACUGGGACUGAUACACUGCCCAGACUCCUACUGUAGGCAGCAGUAGGGAAUCUUCGGCAAUGGACGAAAGUCUGACCGAGCAACGCCGCGUGAGUGAAUCAGGUUUUCGGAUCGUAAAACUCGUUUGUUAGAGAAGCGAUAUCUAUACAGAAAGCCACGGCUAACUACGUGCCAGCAGCCGCGGUAAUUC
rnacentral:rRNA from 1 species